CUUGGGCAACUCUCCUGGGAGCGGGGCGGAGGCAGCUGGGUUGGGCUUCCUUUAGGCAGGGGCCAGGGUGGGCAUGGUUGCCUCCUGUGCCCUCUGUGCUCUCGGCAGUGGCCGGGUAGAGCUGUCCCACUUCCCACCGACCUGUGUCUUGGACACUAGCACCCUCCCAGCACAGAAGCGCCAGCUGCCCCUCUGGAAAUCCAAGGGCCCUCUCACCUGGGGGCACCAGUGUGAGGGCGCUGUGCUGGACAUUGACGCUGUUUGCAGCCUGGCACCGGAACCAGUCCGCUGUCUGGCCCGGCAGGAAGGAGAAGUUGGCAGGCUGCCCGUGGCGUGGUCGCUGCCGCAGGUGGACCUGCCCGUCCUUCCCGACCAGGCUGUAGGUAAUGGGUGGGCUGCCCGAGGACGCCUGGCAGGACAUCUCCACCCUGGGCCUGACCCUCUGUCCCGCAGAGUGAAGUUGGCCCGCAGCUCCGACACUGGCUCUGGCAGGGUGGGAGAAGGUAGCACAACCAUGGCUGAGCAGUCUUAAACCCCUCCUCCUCACUAAAGCAGUUGAAGCUCAGCAGUCCCAUGAUUUGUUCAAGGCCCCAGCCGAUGGAGUCUUUCCCUGUCACCCAGGCGCACAGUGGCGUGAUCUCUG